AAACUUACCUCUUUGAAGUGUUCAGACAGGAAAUCAGCAACAAAUGAUACAUCUCUGUGCGUCAUCUGUAUUUUGAAAUGAAGUUGAAGUUAUGAACAGAUUGACAGAAACCAAAGAUUCCAUCUGAUUUAAAAAAUAAUUACAUUUGAAGAUUCUGGAGCAAAUAAUCUCACAUCUGGGAUUCUCGGUGCCAUAUAGGCUAUUACACAGCAAUGGAAAUAGACAAAAUUAAUUUCCAAGCAAUGGUGAUAAAAGCGGAAAACGUUGCCAGUAGGCAAAGAAUGGCUGCUAGACGAGGGUAGAUGAGGUUCUGUUGAAGACCAUGACCUGGAGUUACACUCAGACUUCAGUUUUUUGCAGUGGUGGGACCUGCUCCUGGUGGCUCACGACCGGCCGCUUUUUGAUACUCCGAGGGCGUGGCCUCGAAGAUGAGCAUGCCUUUGGUUUUCCGGACAUGUAGACAGGUUGAUUCUAAGCCAGUGCCGGCAAAUGAAAUGUCAUGGAAGAAAACUGAACCUCAGGAACACCGGAUCAGCUGUCGAAGGCUCUGUACUCAGCAAAAUGCGUGCUCUCUGCUCUCUCUCUUUGGUGGAGAAGAGAUUGUUGCUGUUCUCUGGGCGGAGAACUCAGAGAAAAAGUCUUAGUAUUGAAAAUUAGUAGAAGUUUUUUUUGGCUCCUCAUUAUCUGACAGAUGAGCCCAGUGAACUAGCCAAUGCCAAUGUCAUAUAUCAGUGAAAGGUCACUGGCAAUUAAAAAGACAAGUUCAGGCAUAAAACAAGAAAAAUCUGGACACAAAGACAAUCAAAUAUAAUGAAAUAAUUAAUCUUAUGUGUUGAUCUGUUAUAAUUCAAGCUUGG